ensembl:lincRNA
UCAAGAUGAUCUUUCAUUUUGCCUCCCGCAUCUUACACAGUGUCUCUCCAUGGAAGAAUAUAAUCUGAGCCCUGUUCUGAAAAGAAUCCAAGCAAUUCAGUGAGUGAAUUCACGAGUGAGAAUAUUUCUGAAAAUCAACAAACUGUACCUGAAGGAUCUUGUUGGCUGAGAGGUGAGAACAACCUUGACUUGCUGGCAGGAACCCAGUCCACAGAGGUCUUGACGCUGACCUUCACUCUAGAACUCCAUCCGUCUCUGGAAGAGCUGCUCUUUCAGUCGGACUCCAGCGUCCUCUUCAUCCACCAAUAGUAAGUACAGUGGCACCAUAAUCCUCAGUUGAGUAAAAUUGUGAACAGAAAGGAAUUGUGGAUCUGGA